CUGGGACUGGGAACAGGGCAGGGACUGGGAAUGGGAACGGGAUUGGGACCGGAACCGGGCACGGGACCAGGAAUGGAACCGGGACUGGGAACAGGACCAGGACCGGGACCGGGUACGGGAUCGGGACCGGGAACGGGAACGGGACUGGGACUGGGACUGGGACCGGGUACGGGUACGGGAUCAGGAUCGGGACCAGGAACAGGGUGGGGACCGGGACCGGGUAUGGGACAGGGUCCAGGACCGGGAAUGGGAACGGGAUUGGGACCGGGAAGAGAACCGGGACUGGGAACGGGACCGGGACUGGGACCAGGACCGGUUCCGCAGCCUCUCCCGUCCCGCUGCCCCCCACCUGCACACCACAGCAGGACGGCGCCGAGCCGGUCCCAAUCCCGGUCCCGCUCCCACGGCGCACUCCCCACACCCUCCGUUCGCCUCACACAUGGCUCCCCUCCCCUCCCCUCCCCUUCCUUUCCCCUUCCCCUUUCCCCUUCCCCUCCCUUCCCCUUCCCCUCCCGGCCCCUUCCCGUUGCUAUGCGGUGACGUCACGCGGCCGCCAUGUUCCGCAGCCUGCUGGUGGCGGCGGCGCAGCGGCCCCCGGCCCCCACCCCCCCUCCCGGCCCCCCCCCGGGCUCCGCCGCCCCCGACCCCAAGCCCGACCCCAAGCCCGGUGGCUCCGCUCCCCGGUGGUCCCGAGGCUCUGGAGGCUCAGUUCAGCUGCCCCAUCUGCCUCGAGGUCUUCCACCGAGCCGUCGGCAUCGCGGGAUGCGGACACACGUGAGGAGGGGGGAACGGGGGUCGGGGGGGGGUCGGGGGGGAACGGGGGGAUUAGGGGGGAUCGAGGGGUAAUGGGGGUAAUGGGGGGAUUAGGGGGGACCGGGAGGAUUAGGGGAGAUCGGGGGGUAAUGGGGGGAUUACCCAUCCCCAUCCCAUAUCCCCAUCCCAUCCCAUCCCAUAUCCCUAUCCCCUCCCUAUCCCAUCCAAUCCCAUCCCCAUCCCAUAUCCCCAUCCCAUAUCCCUAUCCCAUAUCCCCAUCCCAUAUCCCAUAUCCCCAUCCCCAUCCCAUA
rnacentral:lncRNA from 1 species